AGAAGUAGAUAAAAAUAAAUUAAUUUUAUGAUAUCUUACAGAGAAGCUUUUUAGAAGCUUAAUAGAUGUUACUUUGACUUUACACAUUUUUAUAGCUAAUUGAUAGGUUAGAAAAUUUAUCAACAAAUUAGCCAAGUAUUACAUAUGUUAAUUAAUUAUAUAGUCUACAUAUAGAUAACUUGUCUUGCAAAUUAAGACAUGUGUUUAGCAAAGUCAACACAUGUUAGAGGUUCUAGAGCAUAUUGCCACUUAGCUCCUAAUUAAGGAGAUAUAUAGAAGUAAGAAUAAAGCCUUCUAUACUCUUAUCAAUGCUAUUUUUAUCCUUAAACUUGUUUUUAGACUUUUUAAACUUCUUGUCUUUGGCAAUAGCCAUUCUAGUUCAACAUAUUACCAUCUUUGAGCAAUUUCUUAGUCUUUUCAAGUGACACAAGAGUAUAUUGAGGAUUUCUUAAUUUGAAAUUCAUGUCUUUGACAAACACAAAACUACUUAAAUUUUGUUAUAAAAUUGAUAAUUAUUAUGUAUUUAGGUAAAUAUAUAUCUAUAUAUAGAUGGCUAUUUUAUUGGCACAUUUUAUAAUUAUUUAUUUUUAAUUUAUUUAUUAAUAAAAACUUACAAAUUUUAUGAAUAUUUUAAUAUUUUAAUUUUAGUUUACAUUAUUUGAUUGAAAAUAUCUUGAAAAUAGUACAAUUGAUAUUUUAACAUAAUUUUUUGAAUAUUUUUGAUAUUAUUAGUGUUAUAUAGUUGUAGAUAGAAUUUAUAUUUUGGAAUUUUAUUUUAUUUUAUUUUUAUUUUUAUUUAGGAAAUCACUCAAAUAAAAACAAAACAAAACAAAUCUAGAUUGCAUCCAACUCACAACAAUGGAUUCUGUUGAGGAGGUAGGACAAGUCGCUGUGAUCAGAUCCAGGCAAUCCAUUCAGCUGGACUCACAUCAAGCUCUGUUGGAAUUUAGACACUACAAUCUUCCUACUCUGCUAUGUCGCUGAAACCUGCAAUGUAGUGGUAGACAUUCACAGUAAGAGUUACCUGCUUAAUUGUGCUGUUUUUGAGCAUUUGCAAGGAUAUGGUUCCUGGAAUAUGGACCAUUGUGCUCUCUGCCUCUUCACCUCCGAUUCCAGCUAACUAGUCAACCACCAGUGUUGUCAUGGUGCUUCAGCAUGUCCACUACAAGAUAAACUGAAGAUUAUUUGUUAAAAUAAAUAGGUGUUUAUUCGACCACGUUUUGGCAACUCAUUAGUUCACUGUUCUUGUUCUCGAAGACAAAACCCAGUUAGCCACUGACUGGGAUAUCACAAAUGAUAUGAAGACAUUCACAGGAAGAGUCGAUGCUGUUUGGGCAUGUAAUUCUUGCAAAAACAACACUAUAAAUCCCCGACCACACUGCUGAUUGCCGUUGGGAAGAACUGGCUGGAGGUGGUGAUAGGCUGUCUGGAAACCUUGCGUUCUGUAACAUAGCUAGAAUAUUAAGUUGUGCAAAAUAUUCAAACCAACCGCUCGUUUAAUCCAUGUUUGAAGCACAACUAUUCAAAC
rnacentral:lncRNA from 1 species